UUAUGGCCAUAUCACGUUGAAACAACCAUUCCAAUACGAUCACUGAAGUUAAGCAUCGUUGAGCUUGGUUAGUACUUAGAUGGGUAAACGAUUGUUAA